AGCAGCCGCGGUAAUUCCAGCUCCAACAGCGUAUAUUAAAGUUGUUGCAGUUAAAAAGCUCGUAGUUGAAUUUCGGAAUCGACGGAUUGGUCGCGCCUUCGGUGUGUACUGGUCUUGCCGGUUUCUCCCUUCUGACGAACCACGAUGUCAUUAAUUUGGUGUCGUGGGGAAUCAGGACUGUUACUUUGAAAAAAUUAGAGUGUUUAAAGCAGGCAUUAGCUUGAAUACAUUAGCAUGGAAUAAUGAAAUAGGACGUUUGAUCUUAUUUUGUUGGUUUCUAGGAUCGACGUAAUGAUUAAUAGGGAUAGUUGGGGGCAUUAGUAUUCAAUUGUCAGAGGUGAAAUUCUUGGAUUUAUUGAAGACUAACUACUGCGAAAGCAUUUGCCAAGGAUGUUUUUCAUUAAUCAAGAACGAAAGUUAGGGGAUCGAAGACGAUCAGAUACCGUCGUAGUCUUAACCAUAAACUAUGCCGACUAGGGAUCGGAUGAUGUUAAUUUUUUAAUGACUCAUUCGGCGCCUU
rnacentral:rRNA from 1 species